UACGAAGGGGGCUAGCGUUGUUCGGAAUUACUGGGCGUAAAGCGCGCGCAGGCGGCUAUCCAAGUCAGUGGUGAAAGCCCGGAGCUCAACUCCGGAACUGCCAUUGAAACUGUUUAGCUUGAGGAUGAGAGAGGUGAGUGGAAUUCCCAGUGUAGAGGUGAAAUUCGUAGAUAUUGGGAAGAACACCGGUGGCGAAGGCGGCUCACUGGCUCAUUACUGACGCUCAGGCGCGAUAGCGUGGGGAUCAAAAGGG
rnacentral:rRNA from 1 species